GUAAAGUCCUGCCCUGAGGGGUGACCAUGCCCUUCCUUCCCAGAGAGCCCUUUGCUCUCCUCUCUGGGGGGCGAUAGAAUGGGGACUCAUGAAUAAUCAUGGCAGAUGCCGAUCGAAGGAAGAACUGCCCCAACAAUGCCAGGUCUCCUGUCUCCCCACUUACCCCACCAUUCUCCACCUCUCCUGAGGCGACAAGCUCUUCUCAAACCAACCCUGUUCAUGUACAGUCUUGCUUCUCUCUAUGCCUCUGAUUUUCUCUUUGCUGAGCUGAGUUGUCUGCCUUCCCCCAACCCUGCCUCUUCUUUGGAACCUGUCCUCAUCUUAUUCAUACUUCUCCCUUCCAGGUCUCUUCCCCUUUCUCCUUCUGGAGGCAGAAAUCUAAUUGUAGUGUACACACACACACACACACACACACACACACACACACACACACACACAUACCAGUGACAUCUGGAAGCUUUUGUAACUCAGUGCCUCAGUUUCCCCACAUACAGACAGAAUGGGAAGUGGGGCCAUCAAGCUUCAAACCUUAGGUGCAUUUUGUGAUGGGGGAGGGGGAGGGAGUGGCCUGACUUGGGAGUAACAAAGCUGAAAAUAGAACCUUUAUGUAAGCAAGGAGCAGAAGGCAGAAUCGGGACUGGCUUGGGGGAGGGCAGAGUGGUGUGGGGAGGAGACUUUGCUGAGGUGGCUCUGGGCACCUGAGCUGCACCUGGCCUUUGAUAAUUUCCAAAUCAGACAUUACCUGCCCUC
rnacentral:lncRNA from 1 species